UUUGGCACCUUAAUAAACAUUGGGGCGCCUAUGUGGUAACACAUAAGCCUGGUUAUUCAUAAACGCGGUUAGAGAACGCGUGCUAAUAAUAAAUUUACUAGUUAAUAUCGGUGGACCCCUUCGACUCGAACAGUCGCUCAGGGCAAUACCGAGGGAAUCCUUCGACGCAAAAUUAAUUUUUUGCUCAGGACCCGUAUCGACUUGUGUUUGGUUUCAAACGAACACAGAUGGGAUGCUCUAUCCGCCAGUUGGCGGAUAAAUUUAUAGCUACCAUAAUUAGACUAGCUCCUUUGAAAUGAUGCAAAGGAUGAAGGUAUAGUCAAGUCUUGUGGUAACACAAGA
rnacentral:autocatalytically_spliced_intron from 1 species